AUUGAACGCUGGCGGAAUGCUUUACACAUGCAAGUCGAACGGCAGCACGGGGGCAACCCUGGUGGCGAGUGGCGAACGGGUGAGUAAUACAUCGGAACGUGCCCGGUCGUGGGGGAUAACGUAGCGAAAGUUACGCUAAUACCGCAUACGAUCUGAGGAUGAAAGCGGGGGACCUUCGGGCCUCGCGCGAUCGGAGCGGCCGAUGUCAGAUUAGGUAGUUGGUGGGGUAAAGGCCUACCAAGCCGACGAUCUGUAGCUGGUCUGAGAGGACGACCAGCCACACUGGGACUGAGACACGGCCCAGACUCCUACGGGAGGCAGCAGUGGGGAAUUUUGGACAAUGGGCGCAAGCCUGAUCCAGCCAUUCUGCGUGCAGGACGAAGGCCUUCGGGUUGUAAACUGCUUUUGUAUGGAACGAAAAGGCUCUGGCUAAUACCUGGGGCUCAUGACGGUACCGUAAGAAUAAGCACCGGCUAACUACGUG
rnacentral:rRNA from 1 species